rnacentral:misc_RNA from 1 species
GUAUUUAAUUGCGUUAAACGCGACAUACAUUCCAUAAGACUUUGUUGUAGUGUGUGUGUAAAGACGUAGAACCACGGCGGGAGGGCAGAGCCCACCCAGGCCAUAGAACUACAGAGGGUGCACAGGUGUGAGUGGAUGUGUAAACAGAGCGUGCACAUGCCCCCAUUACAGGGACCAGCAACAACUCUUGUUGACAAUUCGGUAAUGAUCCUUCCGCAGGUUCACCUACGGAAA